rnacentral:lncRNA from 1 species
GCAUCACCGUUGGUGUUAACGGUCUGAACGGUCUGUUCAUUAGUUCCUGAAGCCGAAGCAUCAGCAGGAACCACAGGAAUGGGCUGUUUCAAAACGUAGGCACAUUUUUUAAGAGUCGGGAAGAAAAACAUUUUUUGCUGCCAACGUUUGAAAUGGUUACCCUCAAACUUAAACGGCCUUUCGGUAGCACCGACAGAUGAAUUACCAAUAAUCUCUU